AUUGAACGCUGGCGGCAGGCCUAACACAUGCAAGUCGAGCGGAUGACGGGAGCUUGCUCCUUGAUUCAGCGGCGGACGGGUGAGUAAUGCCUAGGAAUCUGCCUGGUAGUGGGGGACAACGUUUCGAAAGGAACGCUAAUACCGCAUACGUCCUACGGGAGAAAGCAGGGGACCUUCGGGCCUUGCGCUAUCAGAUGAGCCUAGGUCGGAUUAGCUAGUAGGUGAGGUAAUGGCUCACCUAGGCGACGAUCCGUAACUGGUCUGAGAGGAUGAUCAGUCACACUGGAACUGAGACACGGUCCAGACUCCUACGGGAGGCAGCAGUGGGGAAUAUUGGACAAUGGGCGAAAGCCUGAUCCAGCCAUGCCGCGUGUGUGAAGAAGGUCUUCGGAUUGUAAAGCACUUUAAGUUGGGAGGAAGGGCAGUAAGUUAAUACCUUGCUGUUUUGACGUUACCGACAGAAUAAGCACCGGCUAACUCUGUGCCAGCCGCCGCCGUAAUAC
rnacentral:rRNA from 1 species